CCUACGGGUAGCAGCAGUGAGGAAUAUUGGUCAAUGGGCGAGAGCCUGAACCAGCCAAGUCGCGUGAGGGAGUACUGCCCUAUGGGUUGUAAACCUCUUUUGUCGGGGAGCAAAAGCCGGACGUGUCCGGCUGUGAGAGUACCCGCAGAAACAGCAUCGGCUAACUCCGUGCCAGCAGCCGCGGUAAUACGGAGGAUGCGAGCGUUAUACGGAUGUAUUGGGGUUAAAGGGGGCGCAGGCGGAUUUUUAAGUCAGCGGUCAAAUCGUGGGGCUCAACCCCAUCCAGCCGUGGAAACUGGGGAUCUAGAGUGUGCGAGAGGUAUGCGGAAUGCGUGGUGUAGCGGUGAAAUGCAUAGAUAUCACGCAGAACCCCGGUUGCGAAGGCAGCAUACCGGUGCACAACUGACGCUCAGGCACGAAAGCGUGGGUAUCGAACAGGAUUAGAUACCCCUGUAGUC
rnacentral:rRNA from 1 species